GAUGAAGAACGCAGCGAAAUGCGAUAAGUAAUGUGAAUUGCAGAAUUCAGUGAAUCAUCGAAUCUUUGAACGCACCUUGCGCCCCUUGGUUAUUCCAAAGGGCAUGCCUGUUUGAGUAUCAUGAACACCUCAACUCUUGUGGUUUCCCACAAUGAGCUUGGACUGUGGAGGUUUUGUUGGCCCUGUGGUCAGCUCCUCUCAAAUGGAUCAGCUUACCGGUGUUUGGUGGCAUUACGGGUGUGAUAACUAUCUACGCUCGUGGUCGUCUCCUAAUAACCUCCAGUGAUGGAGGUUCGCUGGAGCUUAUAAAUGUCUCUCCCCAGUGAAGACAGCCUUUGAACGUUCGAUCUCAAAUCAGGUAGGACUACCCGCUGAACUUAAGCAUAUCAAUAAGCGGAGGA
rnacentral:misc_RNA from 1 species